rnacentral:sRNA from 1 species
CUUCCUCGAUCUGCUGCGGGCAGAUGAAAUGGAUGUGCACGUCGAUCCCGCCCGCGGUGAGGAUGCGCCCCUCUCCGGCGAUGAUCUCCGUGCCGGGGCCGAUCACGAUAUCCACACCGGGCUGGGUGUCGGGAUUGCCGGCUUUGCCGAUCGCGGCGAUACGACCCGCUUUCAGCCCGACAUCCGCCUUCACGAUGCCCCAAUGAUCGACGAUCAGGGCAUUGGUAAUGACCGUAUCCAUCGCACCGGCAGCGUUGAUCAUCUGCGACUGGCCCAUGCCGUCACGGAU